GCCUUAGAUGUUCUGGGCCGCACGCGCGCUACACUGAUGCAUUCAACGAGUCUAAAACCUGCUCUGAUAGGGGUGGGUAAUCUUUUGAAUGUGCAUCGUGAUUGGGAUAGAUGAUUGCAAUUUUUCAUCUUCAACGAGGAAUGCCUAGUAAACGCAAGUCAUCAGCUUGCAUUGAUUACGUCCCUGCCCUUUGUACACACCGCCCGUCGCUCCUACCGAUUGAAUGAUCCGAUGAAUAUCAUGGAUUGAGGAUGCAAGUAGGUUCGCCUAUCUUCAUCUUCGAGAAGUGAAGUAAAUCUUAUCAUUUAGAGGAAGGAGAAGUCGUAACA
rnacentral:rRNA from 1 species